AUCUCUUUCUGGUGAUCUGUCCUUUGUAGAGCUUUUCAUUGUGAGCCUAAAUCUUUGGAUACAGGUCUAAGGAUUUGAAGGGCUUCAACUGAGUCACACAACUCUGAUGGUAGCGGUGCCCAAUCUUCAGCUGUUGCAUCAGCAAAAGAAUGACAGAGCAAGGCUCUUUGGGCAAAUGAGUUCAGACAGACCAGGAGGAGGGCCUGUUGCUGGUAGAUCCUCCAGGCGUUACAACAGUGCAGGCUCACUGUGCACCAGGUGUACCUGGAGAAUAUCUCGGGCAUCAGAAGCAGAUGUUGGUGGUACGGCAGUAGAGGCUGAACCUUUCCACCAGUAUUUCCUUCCAUUCUGUUGCCAUGUGACAGAUGGCAGCAGAGGCGGCGUCUGACAUGAAAGUGCGGGUGAAGCAAAGGUGUCCCUGAAUUCCUCUGUGCAGAAAAAAAUGGCACCUAUUGACAUUCACCAAUGCUUGCUGAACGUUGAUGGAGACCAAACAGUGGACGUGAGCACACAGUGAGGCAGUGGGUGAUGUGUUUCAGCAGUGGUGACAGCAACAUGAAAGACAAGCCAUGUUUCAGAUGGCCACGCACAGCUGUCACACCACUGAAUGAAGAGCAUCUCAAUCACCUAACCCAGGUGAACUGGUGGAUUUCAGAGUACUGUGUACAGAACUGAAUACCAUCUUAAAUGUGUUGGAAACAAUGGUGGCAAUAUUGGAAUAUCACAAAGUUUGCAGCAGGUGGGUCUCAUGAUUGCUCACACUGGAACAGAAAGAACACUGUAUGCAACUUUGUCAGGACCUACUGAACCAACACAAGGCUGAAGGUGACGGUUUCCUGGUUUCAUUACCAGUAACAAGUUGUGGUGUUACCCUAAGAGCUGGUGUCAAAAUGGCAGUUCAGGGAGUGUCAAUGUGAAUUCCCCAUUGAAGAAAAAGUGCACUGUGCAGCCCUCAGCAUUUAAAGUGAUGUGCACUGUCUUUUUGAGAUAGGAAAGGGGUAAUCCUUUUUGGAGUUCCUGGAACACAGGCAAACCAUCAACUCUGACGGCUACAUCACAAUGCUGACUAAGCUGACGUUCAACUUUCCAGAGUCAGGCCAGAGAAGAAGACGAGGUUUCUCUUGCAACACGAUAAUGCCAGGCUUCAUUCCAGUUUGAAGACUGUGGAGCACUCUGCCAAUCCUGUCUGGACUGUCCUACCACACCCACCAUACAGCCUGGAUUUGGCACCUUUUGAGUUCCAUCUGUUUGGGCUGAUGAGAGAUGGACUGCAUAGGCAACAUUUUCCUAGCAAUGACAUCAUCAUAGCAGCCAUGAAACAGUGGGUCAGCUCCCCUGGUGCAGAUCUUUACGAGCACAGCAUGCAGGCUCUUGUUCAUCACUGGUAAAAAUGGCACAGCUAAUGGUGGUGACUAUGUUGAAAAAUAGAGCAAAUUCUCAGCUCCAAAACACUAUCAAAUAGUGUUCUUCUGCUGUUUGUUGUGCUUUCCAUGAAAAUAAAUCGGAGGUAGUGUUUUCAGAGCAACCUUUGUAUAUUUUUAUCUUAUGGAUUAUCUUCAUCACAGUUGUAGUGAAUGCAUUUUAACUUUCCUGAGUAUCUCCAUUAUCACCCACUCUCUAUUUUUUUCAAACUAUAAUGUAACAGGAGACAGCAGCAGCAUAAUACCUCAGGAUAUUAUUCACAGCAAAGGCAUCUCAGCUGGGAACAAAAUCCCAAUGUGCUCUUCUCUACUGUGUUUCUCAGAGCAAACACAGUAUGCUGGAGCAAGGGCAGCAAAAGAGCCUUGCAAGUAUUUGUGGGUGAGACACAGCUGGGAACUGCAAGACCAGCUAACUUGCACUCAGUCACCUUACUUUUGCCUUUGUUUUAAUGAAAAUGGUAAAGGAAGCAAUAGUGAAAAUUCAAAGUGUGCAUAAUCCAACCUACCUCAUUACAGGCUAUUUCUGAAAGGGGCUCACACUUCCUCCCCAUUUCCACAUUUCCUCCUCCACAUUUAAAGCAAAUUAAAAAAAAAAAAUGAAGGCAACAAGCACAGGGAGCUGGUCUGACUCAGCCAGUAGCCUUACACUCCUCAGAUGUAACCCAACGUGAGCAAAACAGCUGUGGAGCUAAGAUCUCCCAUUCAAAAGCAACUGAAAGUAUUUUGGGUUAGGCAUAGCAUGAAGCUGCAC
ensembl:lncRNA